GACGAACGCUGGCGGCGUGCUUAACACAUGCAAGUCGAACGGAAAGGCCCUGCGUUUGUGGGGUGCUCGAGUGGCGAACGGGGGAGUAACACGUGAGUAACCUGCCCUUGACUUUGGGAGAACUUCAGGAAACUGGGGCUCAUACCGGAUAGGAGCUACUGCUGCAUGGUGGGGGUUGGAAAGUGUCGGCGGUUGGGGCUGGACUCGCGGCUUAUCAGCUGGUUGGUGGGGUAGUGGCUUACCAAGGCUUUGACGGGUAGCCGGCCUGAGAGGGUGACCGGCCACAUUGGGACUGAGAUACGGCGCAGACUCCUACGGGCGGCAGCAGUGGGGAAUAUUGCGCAAUGGGCGGAAGCCUGAUGCAGCAACGCUGCGUGCGGGAUGACGGCCUUCGGGUUGUAAACCGCUUUCGCCGGUGCCGAAGCGUGAGUGACGGUAAUGGGUAAAGAAGCACCGGCUAACUACGUG
rnacentral:rRNA from 1 species